GCCUGGUGCCUGUGGCUGGUGCCUGAAGCUGGAGUUACAGACAGUUGUGAGCUAUCAUGGCUGUUGGGAAUUAAACCCGGUCAUCUGGAAGAACAACCAGUGUUCUUAAACACUAAGCCAUCUCUCCAGCCAGUUUACCUGUUUUUAAAUUUUUAUUUUUCUGGUAACUUUUUUUAUUCUGUUUUACAAAAGUAUAGGUCUAACUAACCCUGAAGAAAAAAUUGGAGUUACACUCCAGGUCCUUUUUGGUAAUUUUUAGUUGGAUAUAGGAUCUUUUGUUUUGUUUUGUUUUGUUUGUUUGUUUUUUUGAGACAGGGCUUCUCUGUGUAGUCCUGGCUGCUGUGGAACUCACUCUGUAGACCAGGUUGACCUCUAACUCACAGAGAUCUGCCUGCCUCUGCCUCCCUAGUGCUGGGACUAAAAGCCUGUGCCACCACUGCUUAUCUAAAAAAAUUAUUAUUUCUUUUAUGUGCAUGGAUAUUUUGCCUGCAUAUAUGUCUGUGAACCAUGUUUGUGCCUGGUGUCCUGAGACGCCAGAAGAGGGUGUCAGAUCCCCUGGAACUGUAGUUACCCAUAGUUGUGAGCUGCCAUGAGGGUGCUAAGAACCGAACCUAGGUCCUCUGAAAGAGCAGCCAGUACUGAGCCAUCUUCGAGCCCCUGGAGCUUUUUUGAUAGUGUAAAGGAAAGAGAGAAGGGAUAAAGAAAGAAAGUGAAUAGUGGAAACGAUUUUCAUCAUGGGCAAGACUCGAAAUGAAUUUUUGAAAUGAGAUGCCGAAAGCAGUUCGGGGAAAUAAUUAAAGGAAGUAGGCCAGGGCCAGUGUACUGAGAUAGUCAUCCUGCCCGAACCUGUAGUACUGACCAUGCCUCUUUGGGCGUGGUCACAGGUGCGGACAACUAGAUCUGGGGUCCUGGACCCCAGGGCUCUCUCUUGCUUCCAGUUGGGUCACAGAGGGCAGCCUGGAACUUGUGGUGGUCACCUGCUUCUUGUGUAAGUGCAUUCUUCCUGAAUCAACUUCACUUAACCUAUACUGAGUAUUGAUUCUCAUGCAAUAUCUGGCGCCCACCCCCCAAACCCGAACAUGGGUUUGACUAUCCCAGUGGGGAGUAAUCCUAAGAAAACAACACCCCCUUUCCUUACUGUUGGCUUUAAGAGAUAGUAUUCACCUGCAUAGGGUUGGUUUUAGUUGUUUAGGGUUGGGUAUGCAAGGUGAUGCUCAGACUAGGGUAUCUCUUUUAGAAAUGUUUAAGGUUAUGGAUGGGAAAGGUAUGGUUAAGAUGGGAUAUAGGUUCUGCAAGGAUUCAGGCAUUACGCUGGCCUGCCCCUGUUACGUGACAGAAUGCACUCGGGCAGUACUCUGGUCUCGCCCACUUUUCAUCUAUCCAUUCCUUGCGACCAGGUAAGACACCCCUUCUCCUGGUUGGAACAUUUCUCACGGAUGAGGUCCAGGACCACACUUGUUAAGUGGUGUGUUUCUGUUUUAAGCCUCCAGUGGUUUUUGUUCUCUGCCGUUCAGACUUCUGUUUCUAUGGACUUCCAUGUCUUUUUGGGCUUUCCCGCCCUUGGCCGAGUUCUGGGAUGGUACCGAGCCAUCUUCGGCCUCACCGGUGGGAAAUACACUUCAAAUUGGGAGUUCACAUUUUAUGGGACCUUUCCGGUUACAGCCAGUGGACAGAGAGACAGGCCAGCUGCUGGUCCCACCCAUUUCCUCCAAGAAGACUGGCACUGAAGAAACUCCACCCAGAAAAGUCGCACUGCUAGCCACUAAGCAACCCUGCCUUUCACCUCAACUGCUGCAAAGGACUCUUCAGACCGUGGACAAUAGGACAGUGGAAUCGACUUUCUCCACGUAGCUUGGGCCAAUGAUAGGCAAAUCUUCCUAAAGUUCCUAAUCCACAGGUCCCAUGCUAUCAGCAGAAGGCGUGUGUCCUUAAAGUCACUGCCCUCAACAACUAUGGAGGACUUUGGGGGUGGCUGUACGCGCAGCUGGCUAGUAAGUCUCUGUUAUUCUUUAAUCAUUAAUUCAGGUAAAAUUUUAUCCUUCUCAAGAACUCUGAUGCUUUUGACAACUGGUAGCUUUGCCAGCUUAAAGCAACAGGCAAAGCUCCAACUGUCACAAAACAGAUUUCAAGAACAGGUAUUUUAAGGUUUACCUAUGUGAAGAUAGGAAAAUGUAAGGUGUAUGAAUUAAAGUUAUGAAGGUCUGAGGAUAAAAAGGCUUAACCGAUGACAAAUAAAAUGAGUUGAGACAUCUGAAAGAAUGAAACAUGUUUCCAGAUUUCUCUUUCUCAUUAUGCUACUGUUCAUAGUCUUAACAUUAACCAAUAAAGUUCUGAUAAGCUACUAAUCCAACUCUGACAGAGUACAAGUCACCAAACUAUACCACUAUACAAUCGUAACUGCAAGGUCAAGAUUAAAGUACUUUUUAUUAUGCCAAAAAUAUCUGUCAGUUUUUAAAAUGUUAAUUCUUUCAGCCAAGUCGCUUCUAACAUAAAUAUGUUGCUAAUGUGUCUAAUACCUUUGUUUUCACAAACUCUAAGGAUUCUUGUAAGUUCCAGGGAGCCAAAUUGGCCCCCCCAAACAGGUCAGAUUCACUCCAGAUAUUAUUCAAUCUUUUCCUGGUUCCGGGAUUCCAUUCCCUCAUCUUGGGACUCCUCAGAAACCCCUCCCUCAUUCUACAAUCUUCCCUUCAAGUACCAGGACCUAAGAUAAAAAAUUUUCCUAAACUUAACUCUGUACUCUGCUCUGCCAACAUCUUGUCAGGUCUAAAAGGCACCAGAGAGUUCCAUACAGUUUGGACUGCCUUGGAGCAACCAGCUACCCCAGGAUGUGGCAGCACCCCAGCUUUCUCAGGUUCCCCAAAGAUGGUCAACGCCCCCCAGGUCAGCAGGAAGCAGUCUUGAGAACUCGACGCCCUUAUUCCCUAACCUGCCAUGCCUAACUCCCCACCUUUUUAAAAAUAAGUAAAGGUGGGAAUGCAAGGAUUCAGGCAUUAUGCUGGCCUGCCCCUGAUACCUGGCAGAAUGCACUCAGGCAGUACUCUGGUCAGCCCAGGGUUCCAUGAGUACUAGUCUGCAUGUAGGUGUAUAAAGGACCCCUUUAAAAGACAGAUCCCUGCCCUCUUACGCUCUCUUACCCUCUUCGUCUCUCUCUCUCUCUCUUACUGUUCACCUCUUACCCUCUUCUCGUCUCUCCCCCCUCUCACUCUCCCCCUCCCCCACUUAAAUAAACUUCAUGGU
rnacentral:lncRNA from 1 species